GUCGGGAAUUUUGGGCAAUGGGCGCAAGCCUGACCCAGCAACGCCGCGUGAAGGAUGAAAUCCCUCGGGAUGUAAACUUCGCAAGAACGGGAAGAAUAAGUGGAAGUUAAUACCUUCCAUGAUGACGGUACCGUUUGUAAGCUCCGGCUAACUCCGUGCCAGCAGCCGCGGUAAUACGGGGGGAGCAAGCGUUGUUCGGAUUUACUGGGCGUAAAGGGCGCGUAGGCGGUCAGUGCAAGUCAGUUGUGAAAUCUCCGGGCUUAACUCGGAAAGGUCAACUGAUACUGCUCGACUAGAGUGCGGAAGGGGCAACUGGAAUUCUUGGUGUAGCGGUGAAAUGCGUAGAUAUCAAGAGGAACACCUGCGGCGAAGGCGGGUUGCUGGGCCGACACUGACGCUGAGGCGCGAAAGCUAGGGGAGCGAACGGGAUUAGAAACCCGAGUAGUCC
rnacentral:rRNA from 1 species